rnacentral:lncRNA from 1 species
CAUGAACUAUGAUGUGUGAAAUAAUUUACUGCCUGUAUAAACCACAAGUGGUUUCUUAUGGCCAAAUCACUUAAGUCCAAGUCAAUAAAUAGAAAUGGGAAAGGUAGGCCAUGAGCAUGUCAUGGAAAUUUUUGUAGAUCACAUUUGAAGUUCAGUGUUGCCUGGUUCAAAGAGUUCUGGUAACAAACUAAUAAUUAGGGUUUGUUGGAAUGAAUACUACAUAAAGGAUUUGAAAAUACUUAAGAAGCAAAUGGGAAAGAUGAUUAUUAGUGGAUAUUCAGGGGGAAAUUCAUAACAGGUUUUCUAAAGUGGGAAAUCUAAAUUCCCAACAUUUAAAGAAUAGAUGAGAAAGAAUAUAUUGGAUAGGAAAGAUGAUAAACUGGGUUUUUGGAUAUUUUGAGUUUGAGAUACCUAUAGAACAUUCAGACAUAUUGCAGUUUUUUAGAUCUACCUAACAUCUCAUUUGUCUACAACUCAGGAAAAAUUGCUAAUAAGUAUUAAAGAGUCAGAUAAUGACAGAAUAUUAACAACAAUUAUGUUUUUUUUUGUACUGAAAAGAUUCUCAAAAGAUUAGCUUGCUAUUCCUCUUAUAAUGUUCUAUAAUAGAAAACCAAAUUAGAAAUAUUUGAUCUAUAUUUAGAUUUUAUAAAACCCAUAGUUGAAACAGUUCCCAAUGUACUUGAAAUAGUUCUAAAAAUUUAAAGUAAGUCAAAUUAGAUUAAAACUGGUUAUUCAGGUGUACUGGCCCAAAUUUAAGUACUCAAGAGUCACAUGCAGUUGGUGGCUGCCAUGUUGACAGUAUAGGUCUUGACCCACCUGUACCUUUCUAGCCAAAUCUCAGUCCUUACCCAGCUACCUAUACUCCAGCUUGAGUGCUUAUCUUUUUCAUGCAUAUCUUUACUAAUAUUUCUCCUAUAUUACCUCCUUCACUUAACUUUCUCCAGACAUCUAGAGCAUAUGCCUUCCACAUUAGGACCUUCAUACUUUAUCUCUCUAUGAUACUGUUCCUUUGGGUUUACAUCUGCAUGAUCUGCUGUCCUUAUUCGGGUUUCAGCUCAUAUCUAUUUACAGAGUACUUCUCUGACUACUUCUCUUUUAAAUUACUGUUUUAUUUUCUUAAUGUAGUUUGUUAUUAUCUGCAAGUUUCUUAGUGUUUGUAUUUAUUAUCUGUACCCUUUGAUGCAAUAUAAGAGUAGAGGGUCUUAUUUGUAUUAUUUAUUUUAUUUUUAGGGCACAGAAUAGAGCCUCCCUUAAGUUGUCACCAUAUAUUUAUUGAAUUAACCCAUAAAACACACAUUUUUAAAAUGUUUUUCUGGAUCUAAAAUAAGUUUGUGUUUUGGUUUUAGGGAGUUUAGUAUAACUUCCAAAAAUCUGAUUUCUUAUGUAUUGCAGCAGCAGAAUCCCACAAUUUUUGGUAUGUUGUAUUUUCAUUUGCAUUCAGUUCAAAAUAUUUUAUAGUUUCCCUUCUGGUUUCUUCUUUGU